rnacentral:misc_RNA from 1 species
ACCAGGUAGCAUUCCUCACCGACGUCGAUAGGCGUGCUGCAAUCCGCAAGGAAUCCACCACAACCGAUACGAACGUCGUUCGCACGUAGCGUUGAACACUUUGUUCCGAGGGGCAAAUAGAGGCCGAGGCCUCGUGCCCACAACACGUUCCGCAUCCGAGAUUUCGAGCAAUGCGCCUUGGGCGGGCUACACGAGCGCAUGCGCACACACGCACGAGUGCCGACCACGACGCAUGCUAUGAGUUCCAAUCCGCACCACGACACAGCUGGGUGACGCAAAGCAGAAUGGAAAAGGGACGAUUUGGCCGACGUAAUGCCCUAAAGAUAGGUAUCGAGCACAGGAGGCCGCAAUCGAACAGGGCUUGGUGGCCCUUGUGCCGAUGAUUGAAGAGGCGCGGUUGGGAUGCG